UACGAAGGGGGCUAGCGUUGUUCGGAUUUACUGGGCGUAAAGCGCACGUAGGCGGAUAUUUAAGUCAGGGGUGAAAUCCCGGGGCUCAACCCCGGAACUGCCUUUGAUACUGGGUAUCUCGAGUCCGAGAGAGGUGAGUGGAAUUCCGAGUGUAGAGGUGAAAUUCGUAGAUAUUCGGAGGAACACCAGUGGCGAAGGCGGCUCACUGGCUCGGUACUGACGCUGAGGUGCGAAAGCGUGGGGAGCAAACAGGG
rnacentral:rRNA from 1 species